GGGGAUUUAGCUCAGAGGUAGAGCACUUGCCUAGGAAGCGCAAGGCCCUGGGUUCGAUCCCCAGCUCCG
rnacentral:tRNA from 1 species